rnacentral:pre_miRNA from 1 species
UUGACUUUUUUCUAGUCAAACUUUUUUAGUUUGACCAAAUUUAUAGAAAAAUAUAGCAACAUUUUCAACACAGAACAAACAUAUUAUCAAAAUAUAUUCAAUGUAAUAUUUAACGAAACUAAUUUCGUGUUAUAGAUGUUGCUAAUUUUUUCUAUAAACAUGGUCAAACAUAAAGAAGUUUGACUUGGAAAAAAGUUAAA